rnacentral:rRNA from 1 species
UGAAAGGCCAAUCAAACCGGGAGAUAGCUGGUUCUCCCCGAAAGCUAUUUAGGUAGCGCCUCGUGAAUUCAUCUCCGGGGGUAGAGCACUGUUUCGGCAAGGGGGUCAUCCCGACUUACCAACCCGAUGCAAACUGCGAAUACCGGAGAAUGUUAUCACGGGAGACACACGGCGGGUGCUAACGUCCGUCGUGAAGAGGGAAACAACCCAGACCGCCAGCUAAGGUCCCAAAGUCAUGGUUAAGUGGGAAACGAUGUGGGAAGGCCCAGACAGCCAGGAUGUUGGCUUAGAAGCAGCCAUCAUUUAAAGAAAGCGUAAUAGCUCACUGGUCGAGUCGGCCUGCGCGGAAGAUGUAACGGGGCUAAACCAUGCACCGAAGCUGCGGCAGCGACGCUUAUGCGUUGUUGGGUA